rnacentral:lncRNA from 1 species
CCACAGGAAGUUUCUACCAUACUUUGUAUUCCUCUGUCUCGUGAUGCUGGAGAAGAUAAGCUUGUUUGGUUGGAGGAGAACAUUGGUGACUAUUCCGUUCCCAGUGGCUAUCGGCUCCUUCUUCACUCCCAACAAACUAAGCCCUAUCCUAUGGAAUACAUGGAUUUUUACAAGCGAUUCUGAAAAAUACAAGUGCCAGCUAAAAUUAAAAUUACAACCUGGUGCAUCCUUAACAAUUAUAUCCUUACUAAUACUAAUCUAUUUACAAAAACAGUGGCCCAAACUCUUGUUUGCUUGAUGUGCAACAUUAAAGUGGAAACUAAUGUUCAUGCUAUGAUGGGCUACCACCCUACAAAGAAUAUCUGGGUAAGUUUGGGAUUUACUGAUACUAUUGAUGGUGUAACAGAUAAUCUUUGGGAUUGGUUCACAAAAAAAACUAAAUGGCGAGUAACUGUUUACCUGUCGUCUUAUCCUGAUCACUGUAUGGGAAUAUGGUUCAACCGUAACAAACUGGUGAUGGAAGGGAAACACCUCUCUUCACAAGAUAUCUACACAAAAAUCAGUAGGUUAGUUAGGGAAUUGAACCAUCUUGACAGAAUGUUACAUGGAUUUUGGAGGGGAUAUCAAGAUCGGUGGUUCUCCAUCAGAACCCCAUGUUAAGCUUAAUUUUAACGCCACUUAAAAAGGGAAUACUAAAAGGUAUUACUCAGGGUUUGUUAUUCACUCAAAUGGACAGAUUAUGGGUAGUGGCGUCAUUCAGAAUAAAAAUGUAUCUGACAUUUUCUCGGCAGAAGCCCUGUCAUGCCAACAGGGCUUAUCUUUUGCGAAAGAAAUGGGAUUUAACUUUGUGAUGGUGGAAAGAGACUCUCGAUCCACGAUUACCAAGAUCAACCAAGAGAAAGAAGAUGAGUCUAGAAUCGAGGC